GGCCUGGUAGCUGAGCUGGUAGAGCAUACACUGUACAAAAAGUGUAGGCGGCGACCAUGUGUGGGUUCGAAUCCCACCGGGGCUA
rnacentral:tRNA from 1 species